UGCCAGGGAGGGCUCUGCCACCAAAGCCCAGCCUGAACUAUGGAUCCUCUAAAGCUCUAUAAAGAAUGUCUCAUUCAGAUAUAAUCCUACAGCCAAAUCUUCUACUAGCCUCACUUUACUGAAGUCAGUGGAACAGCACCACCAGCAUGCCAUUAGAGAGAACAGGAGAUGGAGCACAAGAAAUACAUCUGUCUAAAUCCAUAUGGAUCCUGGCCCAUCCCUCAAAAACAUCUUUCCAGCUCAUGGAUUUUCCCCUUACCAUUGAAAUUACAGCUCUCCUAUAGGAAGCCCCACAUA